UUGCUGCCGCGGCACUGCUGCACUGCUGGUGUUCUGGUCUACACGCCUUGUUCUGCUGCACAAUCGCAAGCCUCGAACAUCUGCUUUCUAUAAGCACAUCCGCUCCUUUGCAUCGCUAUUUUAUAUUUACUAACGUUGUUUAUAUCCAUUUCAAUACCCAUUUUUUUAUAAUUUAUUUUUCGUGUAUUAGCUGAUUUUGUAGUAUUUGUGCGCGACCGCUUGCUUUGUUCAUCCGUGCUAACGUUCUUCGUUUGUGUGUUUCUUGUUUUCGUGGUGUCAUUCUGAAUUGAAAGUGUUCGCAACAUGACGCGUGUGUUGGUCGCUGGCGACUCGAUGGUGAAAUACGUGGACCAGUAUUUCCCAUCGCGCCGAGGCUUGUCUGUUAGCGUUGCCGCGCACAGAGGAAUUAGGAUU
rnacentral:lncRNA from 1 species